AUACUUACCUGCAGGGAGAUACUGCUGAUCAGCGAAGGUGGUUCACCCAGGCGAGGUCUGUUUACCAAGACUCUUGGUUGUGGUUGACUCCCUGCGACCUUCAAAUGUGGAACUUGACUGCAUACCUAGGGUAGUGGGGACUGCGUCCGCCUCCCUG